AGGUGUUGAUGUGUCACUCAUACA
rnacentral:siRNA from 1 species